rnacentral:ncRNA from 3 species
UACGGAGGGUGCAAGCGUUAUCCGGAAUCACUGGGUUUAAAGGGUGCGUAGGCGGCCAGAUAAGUCAGAGGUGAAAGUUUCCGGCUCAACCGGGAGAUUGCCUUUGAUACUGUUUGGCUUGAAUCAGAUUGAGGUUGGCGGAAUGUGACAUGUAGCGGUGAAAUGCAUAGAUAUGUCAUAGAACAUCGAUUGCGAAGGCAGCUGGCUGGAUCUGUAUUGACGCUGAGGCACGAAAGCGUGGGGAGCAAACAGG